CUCUGCACAGAGUACCGCUUCGCACACCUGACUAUUCUGUAGUACAGCCCAACCCACAGUACCGCUUCGCACACCUGACUAUUCUGUAGUACAGCCCAACCCACAGUACCGCUUCGCACACCUGACUAUCCUGUAUACAGGACUACCAAGUUAAAGUGAACUUUCACAUGUAAGAUCCAAAUAAUUUUAGUUGGUCAAAUUGUUUCCUUUUUGUUGUUUCAAGUUUAAGCGUUACAUGGAGUAAUCAAACUUCUGUAUCCUAGGUCUGGAUCUCACAAAACGUGAAACACUCUAUUAAAAAAAAAUAAAAACUUUAAACUUAUUGAUUAUCUGGAACCCCGUUUUGUUCUGCGCUACUGAAUAAAGGAGAAACUGUACUAUUA